AUUGAACGCUGGCGGCAGGCCUAACACAUGCAAGUCGAGCGAGCGGCGGACGGGUGAGUAAUGUCUGGGAAACUGCCUGAUGGAGGGGGAUAACUACUGGAAACGGUAGCUAAUACCGCAUACCAUCAGAUGUGCCCAGAGGGGAUUAGUUAGUAGGUGGGGUAACGGCUCACCUAGGCGACGAUCCCUAGCUGGUCUGAGAGGAUGACCAGCCACACUGGAACUGAAACACGGUCCAGAUUCGUACUGUAGGCAGCAGUGGGGAAGAUUGCACAAAGGGUGAAAGCCCGAUGCAGCCAUGCCGCGUGUGUGAAGAAGGCAUUGGGGUGGUAAAGCACUGUCAGCGGGGAGGCGUUACCCGCAGAAGAAGCACCGGCGAACUCCGUGCCAGCAGCCGCGGGAAUA
rnacentral:rRNA from 1 species